GGAGCAUCCCCGGGUCCAAGCCGCGGAGUCUCCCCCGCGGGGGGAGGUGGAAGCGGCCCCCCCCCCCCCCCCCGGGGGCUGUGGGUACGGAGGAGGAUGAAGAUGAGGAUGGCGGUGCCGGAGCUCCGGGAGCGGUUUGGGCGCAGGCAGGAGCCGCGGGGGGGUUGCGGCUGGGAGGCUCGGCCCGCAGGAGGGUCGGUGGUGACGGCUCGGGGUGCGGGCGCCUGACAGGGGAGCCACGGCGCUGCCGCAGGGACCGCGGCCACCCAGCCGAGGAUGGAUGCUUCAGCUGCGAGCACAGAGGGAGGAAAAGCGGAGGCAGCACGACACGUCUGGCACCCAGCAGGGGAGCAGGGUGCACCCGGGGCCGUGGCGAGCUCCUGCACCCAGCACCGGCCAUGGGAACAGCCCCGGCGCAGCCACCCAGCGUGCGCUCGCUGUGACUCACGUCCCCGCUCGGCGAGGGGUCCUCCCGCACUGACCUCGCUCCGCUGGCUCCCACGCAGGGCAGAGAUGACUGAAUUACUGCUCCCUGCUGGGCUCUGCAAAUUCUCCUCUUGGCCGGGCGGCUUCCAGGCCGGAUACGUGGGGCUGGAUGGCUAAGUGCUCUCAGGUCAAACAGUAGCUCCGAUUUUUCCCCUGUGAAGGACCAAGCGCUUGCCCGGUUCCAAGGAAGCAGCUGUGGAAUUUUAUUUUAUUUUAUUUUUUUGUACCCCUCUGCUCUUCCUUCUGACUCUUUUCAUGGUCUUGGGGUUUUCACGAGGAUGGUUGGACCCAGCCCGCAGCGCCAAGUGCGGUCUCCUGCAGAGGGACGAAAGCCUCCGGAGGAGCCGCGUGCCAGGACCGAGGUGGCAGCCUCAAUGCUGUGGGUUUGAACCUGUCUGGGAGAGUGUCCCCUUGUGUCACCAGCAUUGCACGGCCGUGUGUCACCCAUGGGGGUUCCCGCCUGGUGCAGUACAGGAGUCGCCGGCUGCCCCCGGGGCUGAACAUCCUCCUCCCUGCCACAUCCCCCGUGGGACGAGGAGGGGCUGGGGGGCACGGGGCCAGGCCGCAGCGAGGGGAAUGUCAGGACGGGGAAAAAUGUCACCCCCAGAAACAAUUAAAAGGCUUAAUAAAAUCCUUUGCCUCUCUGA